rnacentral:lncRNA from 1 species
AGGCAGAAAGCCUGAGAGAAGGUGGACGGACCCAGCAGCCGCAGCCCGGCUCCUCCCGGACCGGGCACCCUGUCGACGGCCCCGACUCUCCGGGCCACCCCAGGAGCAGCUCAAGUCCUGGGCAGAAGUCAUGACUUAAGAGACUUACUUCAAACUCCUUGGAGUGCCUCCCUGCUAAAUACCUGCUUAAGUCUGGAGGUUCAAAUGAAGUCCUCCCCCCGCCAUCGUGUGUCACCCCCCUCCUUCUCUCCCGAGUUUGGAGGAUUCUAA